UGCAAGUCGAACGAUGAUCUCCAGCUUGCUGGGGGGAUUAGUGGCGAACGGGUGAGUAACACGUGAGUUUCUGCCCUUGACUCUGGGAUAAGCCUGGGAAACUGGGUCUAAUACCGGAUAUGACUGCUCCGCGCAUGCGGUGGUGGUGGAAAGCUUUUGCGGUUUUGGAUGGACUCGCGGCCUAUCAGCUUGUUGGUGGGGUAAUGGCCUACCAAGGCGACGACGGGUAGCCGGCCUGAGAGGGUGACCGGCCACACUGGGACUGAGACACGGCCCAGACUCCUACGGGAGGCAGCAGUGGGGAAUAUUGCACAAUGGGCGAAAGCCUGAUGCAGCGACGCCGCGUGAGGGAUGACGGCCUUCGGGUUGUAAACCUCUUUCAGUAGGGAAGAAGCGAAAGUGACGGUACCUGCAGAAGAAGCGCCGGCUAACUACGUGCCAGCAGCCGCGGUAAUACGUAGGGCGCAAGCGUUAUCCGGAAUUAUUGGGCGUAAAGAGCUCGUAGGCGGUUUGUCGCGUCUGCUGUGAAAGACCGGGGCUCAACUCCGGUUCUGCAGUGGGUACGGGCAGACUAGAGUGAUGUAGGGGAGACUGGAUUCCUG
rnacentral:rRNA from 1 species